rnacentral:lncRNA from 1 species
CUCUAAUUUUAGGAAGGUCAAGUUUGCAAAGGUGAAAUAGCAAGUAGGACUUCUCUCAGUCUCAAUUGACGUGGAAAAGCAAACUAUGCAGAGAUACUUCUGAAUUCCAGCAGCUGCCUACGUGGAACCAGGGCAAAGGGUUUCUCAAGCACAAAUCAUUAACACAGAGUGUUUGUUAAUACUACCACUGGAGGAAGCUUUCACAAGGCUACUUAAAAACUACGUAAUCCUUUUAUGAAUAUUUCUGAAAGACCUGGAAAAUUUGACCACCAGGGAAAGUGAAUCCUACUGGCUUGUAGAAUAUUCCAGACCUGCCAGAUCUGGGAACCACAGGAAAAUAUGCAUGAUUGAUUGGAGGAAGAAAGCCCAUGGAGGAGUCAAUGUCAGAAAAAAAAAAUCAGAUGAUAAAGCGAAGAUU